rnacentral:rRNA from 1 species
GUAGGUGGCAAGCGUUGUCCGGAAUUAUUGGGCGUAAAGCGCGCGCAGGCGGUUCUUUAAGUCUGAUGUGAAAGCCCACGGCUCAACCGUGGAGGGUCAUCGGAAACUGGAGAACUUGAGUACAGAAGAGGAAAGCGGAAUUCCACGUGUAGCGGUGAAAUGCGUAGAGAUGUGGAGGAACACCAGUGGCGAAGGCGGCUUUCUGGUCUGUAACUGACGCUGAGGCGCGAAAGCGUGGGGAGCAAACAGGGAUUAGAUACCCUGGUAGUCCACGCCGUAAACGAUGAGUGCUAAGUGUUAGGGGGUUUCCCGCCCCCUUAGUGCUGCAGCUAACGCAUUAAGCACUCCGCCUGGGGAGUACGGCCGCAAGGCUG